GCUGGAACGCCGGGAGUCACAAACACUACGGUGCUGUAGGAUGAGGCUGCGGCCGAUUAGGUAGACGGUGGGGUAACGGCCCACCGUGCCCAUAAUCGGUACGGGUUGUGAGAGCAAGAGCCCGGAGACGGAAUCUGAGACAAGAUUCCGGGCCCUACGGGGCGCAGCAGGCGCGAAACCUUUACACUGCACGCCAGUGCGAUAAGGGGACUCCGAGUGCGAGGGCAUAUCGUCCUCGCUUUUGUGUACCGUAGGGCGGUACACGAACAAGAGCUGGGCAAGACCGGUGCCAGCCGCCGCGGUAAUACCGGCAGCUCAAGUGAUGGCCAAUCUUAUUGGGCCUAAAGCGUCCGUAGCUGGCCCUGAAAGUCCGUCGGGAAAUCCACACGCUCAACGUGUGGGCGUCCGGCGGAAACUUCAGGGCUUGGGACCGGAAGGCUCGAGAGGUACGUCCGGGGUAGGAGUGAAAUCCCGUAAUCCCGAACGGACCACCGAUGGCGAAAGCAUCUCGAGAAGACGGAUCCGACAGUGAGGGACGAAAGCUAGGGUCUCGAACCGGAUUAGAUACCCGGGUAGUCCUAGCCGUAAACGAUGUUCGCUAGGUGUGGCACAGGCUACGCGCCUGUGCUGUGCCGUAGGGAAGCCGAGAAGCGAACCGCCUGGGAAGUACGUCUGCAAGGAUGAAACUUAAAGGAAUUGGCGGGGGAGCACUACAACCGGAGGAGCCUGCGGUUUAAUUGGACUCAACGCCGGACAUCUCACCAGCUCCGACUACAGUAAUGACGGUCAGGUUGAUGACCUCAUCACGAGCUGUAGAGAGGAGGUGCAUGGCCGCCGUCAGCUCGUACCGUGAGGCGUCCUGUUAAGUCAGGCAACGAGCGAGACCCGCACUCCUAAUUGCCAGCAGCAGUUUCGACUGGCUGGGUACAUUAAGAGGACUGCCAGUGCCAAACUGGAGGAAGGAACGGGCAACGGUAGGUCAGUAUGCCCCGAAUGAGCUGGGCUACACGCGGGCUACAAUGGUCAAGACAAUGGGUUGCAACCUCGAAAGAGGGCGCUAAUCUCCGAAACUUGAUCGUAGUUCGGAUUGCGGGCUGAAACUCGCCCGCAUGAAGCUGGAUUCGGUAGUAAUCGCA
rnacentral:rRNA from 1 species